ensembl:piRNA 21ur-553 ncRNA
UGAAAGAAGGUCAAGUGGGAA